rnacentral:rRNA from 1 species
AUUGAACGCUGGCGGCAGGCCUAACACAUGCAAGUCGAACGAGUGGCGGACGGGUGAGUCAUGUCUGGGACACUGCCUGAUGGAGGGGGAUACCUACUGGAAACGGUAGCUAAUACCGCAUACCAUCGGAUGUUCCCAGAUUGGAUUAGCUAGUAGGUGGGGUAAAGGCUAACCUAGGCAACGAUCCCUAGCUGGUCUGAGAGGAUGACCAGCCACACUGGAACUGAGACACGGUCCAGACUCCUACGGGAGGCAGCAGUGGGGAAUAUUGCGCAAUGGGCGCAAGCCUGAUGCAGCCAUGCCGCGUGAAUGAAGAAGGCCUUCGGGUUGUAAAGUACUGUCAGCGGGGAAGCGUUACCCGCUGAAGAAGCACCGGCUAACUCCGUGCCAGCCGCCGCGGUAAUUC